UACAAUAAACAAAGAGUUAGUUUAGUAUUUCUUGGACCACCCAAAUGAUUAAAAACACACCGCCCAAUCGUAUGUUGCUAGUAAUAUUGACUUUAUGACUAUUAAAACAAGAAUAAGGUAGAAAAUGAAAUGUAUAAAAACAAUUUGCUAUCAGAAACUAGGGGUAACCAAGGUGUACUUAUUUACGACAUGUCAUGAACAUUCCAUUUAUCUAUAAGUUAAUUACCUACAAGGUGUUCUAAUGUUAUAUAAUCUAACUUUAUGUGCGUAUACAAAUUUGUUGUUUCCAGGAAUUUAAGUACGGUGCUUAGAGAUAUUUCCGAAUAAAGGGUUAAUUCCGAAACUGUUCUUCGAAAUAAAGUAUGAAAGGAAAAGUAAUGUCCAGCGAGCUGCAAAAGUACACACCCACUUUAUGAUUGAAUUCCAUUCAUAAUGUGUCCAUGUAAAUUUGCAGCACGCCGUAAGUACAUUGGAUCAUCAUCAUCAGUUUUUAUUCAGGAUUUUUACUAUUUUCGGAAUGAUCCAAAGCACAGUUUAAAGUAGAGGAGUGCCGUAUUGUAAAUAUGAAUAGAGUCUGUGCGGAAAGAGAAGAGUCAUGGAAUGUAUGGGGCCCAAUACAUUACACGACUCUUCUCUUUCCGAACAGACUACUAUGUAGAUGAUUACGUUCGAAGGCAAGACACACUACACGCGGCGGAAGGAGGCUACGACAAUAAAAUCCAAUGUUUACAAAGAUUCAUCUUCCUAUCCGUACUCUGAUCCGUCCGUAUGUCCUCAUGAUAUCUAGGCGACAGUCGGGUCAAUCGGGGUCGGCAAUAGUAUUCAAACCCCUUCUAAUAUUGAAUGCCGGAUAAAAACAAUCCGAAUGUCGCAAUAAUACAACAUUGUGGUUUAGUAACGAAGUGUCACGAACGCAGUCCUCAGCAGUAGAUUGUUAUGUUACUCGAAACGGACUCUGUGUUACUAAGGAAUAAUGCACAUGGUGCUCGAAAACUCCUUUUGAGGAUCCGUAAUAACGAAGCAACGAGUGACUUAAACUGUACCUCUGUAUUGUGAAUUAAUGAACCCCUGUAGAUAAAAUAUAUGAAUUAAAAGAUUACCAAAUUGAAAUAUCAA